rnacentral:rRNA from 1 species
UUAAGUUAUUAAGGGCGCACGGUGGAUGCCUUGGCACUAGAAGCCGAUGAAGGACGUUACUAACGACGAUAUGCUUUGGGGAGCUGUAAGUAAGCUUUGAUCCAGAGAUUUCCGAAUGGGGAAACCCAGCAUGAGUUAUGUCAUGUUAUCGAUAUGUGAAUACAUAGCAUAUCAGAAGGCACACCCGGAGAACUGAAACAUCUUAGUACCCGGAGGAAGAGAAAGAAAUUCGAUUCCCUUAGUAGCGGCGAGCGAAACGGGAAGAGCCCAAACCAACAAGCUUGCUUGUUGGGGUUGUAGGACACUCUAUACGGAGUUACAAAGGACGACAUUAGACGAAUCAUCUGGAAAGAUGAAUCAAAGAAGGUAAUAAUCCUGUAGUCGAAAAUGUUGUCUCUCUUGAGUGGAUCCUGAGUACGACGGAGCACGUGAAAUUCCGUCGGAAUCUGGGAGGACCAUCACCUAAGGCUAAAUACUCUCUAGUGACCGAUAGUGAACCAGUACCGUGAGGGAAAGGUGAAAAGCACCCCGGAAGGGAGUGAAAUAGAACCUGAAACCGUGUGCUUACAAGUAGUCAGAGCCCGUUAAUGGGUGAUGGCGUGCCUUUUGUAGAAUGAACCGGCGAGUUACGAUUUGAUGCAAGGUUAAGCAGUAAAUGUGGAGCCGUAGCGAAAGCGAGUCUGAAUAGGGCGUUUAGUAUUUGGUCGUAGACCCGAAACCAGGUGAUCUACCCUUGGUCAGGUUGAAGUUCAGGUAACACUGAAUGGAGGACCGAACCGACUUACGUUGAAAAGUAGAGCGGAUGAACUGAGGGUAGCGGAGAAAUUCCAAUCGAACCUGGAGAUAGCUGGUUCUCUCCGAAAUAGCUUAGGGCUAGCCUCAAGUGAUGAUUAUUGGAGGUAGAGCACUGUUGGACGAGGGGCCCCUCUCGGGUUACCGAAUCAGACAAACUCCGAAUGCCAAUUAAUUUAACUUGGGAGUCAGAACAUGGGUGAUAAGGUCCGUGUUCGAAAGGGAAACAGCCCAGACCACCAGCUAAGGUCCCAAAAUAUAUGUUAAGUGGAAAAGGAUGUGGCGUUGCCCAGACAACUAGGAUGUUGGCUUAGAAGCAGCCAUCAUUUAAAGAGUGCGUAAUAGCUCACUAGUCGAGUGACACUGCGCCGAAAAUGUACCGGGGCUAAACAUAUUACCGAAGCUGUGGAUUGUCCUUUGGACAAUGGUAGGAGAGCG